rnacentral:rRNA from 1 species
UCGGGAAUCUUGCACAAUGGGCGAAAGCCUGAUGCAGCAACACCGUGUGAGCGAUGAAGGCCCUAGGGUCGUAAAGCUCUGUUGUUAGGGACGAAGGGCGAAGGGUUAAUUGCCCUUAGCCUGACGGUACCUUUCGAGGAAGCCCCGGCUAACUACGUGCCAGCAGCCGCGGUAAUACGUAGGGGGCGAGCGUUGUCCGGAAUUAUUGGGCGUAAAGAGCGUGUAGGCGGCUUGGUAAGUGUGCUGUGAAACCUUGGGGCUCAACCCCAAGCGUGCAGUGGAUACUGUCAAGCUAGAGGAUGGUAGAGGCCAGUGGAAGUCCCAGUGUAGCGGUGAAAUGCGCAGGUAUUGGGAGGAACACCAGUAGCGAAGGCGGCUGGCUGGGCCAUUCCUGACGCUGAGACGCGAAAACUAGGGGAGCGAACAGGGUUAGAUACCCGCGUAGUCC